rnacentral:rRNA from 1 species
CCGUGCGAAGGUAGCGCAAUCACUUGUCUUUUAAAUGGGGACCUGUAUGAAUGGCAUAACGAGGGCUUAACUGUCUCCUCUUUCAAGUCAAUGAAAUUGAUCUCCCCGUGCAGAAGCGAGGAUAGAUACAUAAGACGAGAAGACCCUAUGGAGCUUUAUAACACUAAAGCAGAUCAGUAUUAUUACCCUGAACAUAGGCUACGAAUAAACUGCCCCCUGCCCUCAUGUCUUUGGUUGGGGCGACCGCGGAGAAAAAUAAAACCCCCGCAAGACUCAAUGUACUACAAUUCACAAACAAGAGCGACAGCUCUAACUUACAGAACUUCUGAACCAAUAAGAUCCGGCAAUGCCGAUCAAUGGAACCGAGUUACCCUAGGAUUACAGCGCCAAUCUCCUCUUUACAGCCCCAUAUCGAACAGGGGGUUUACGAACUCGAUGUUGGAUCCAGGACAUCCUAAUGGUGCAGCGGCUAUUCAAGGUUCGUU